rnacentral:rRNA from 1 species
GAUGAACGCUGGCGGCGUGCCUAAUACAUGCAAGUCGAGCGAACGGACGAGAAGCUUGCUUCUCUGAUGUUAGCGGCGGACGGGUGAGUAAUACGUGGAUAACAUACCUAUAAGACUGGGAUAACUUCGGGAAACCGGAGCUAAUACCGGAUAAUAUUUUGAACCGCAUGGUUCAAAAGUGAAAGACGGUCUUGCUGUCACUUAUAGAUGGAUUCGCGCUGCAUUAGCUAGUUGGUAAGGUAACGGCUUACCAAGGCAACGAUGCAUAGCCGACCUGAGAGGGUGAUGGGCGACACUGGAACUGCGACACGGUGCAGACGCCUACGGGGGGCGGCAGUAGGGAGUCUUCCGCAAUGGGCGGAGGCCUGACGGUGCAACGCCGCGUGGUUAAUGAUGGUCUUCGGAUCGUAAAACUCUGUUAUUAGGGAAGAAGAUAUGUGUAAGUAACUGUGCGCAUCUUGACGGUACCUAAUCAGAAAGCCACGGCUAACUACGUG